ensembl:lncRNA
GUUCUUUGCUAACCUUGGAGAGAGUGCCUCAAAGAUCUUUGCAGAGCUUGAGGCUCAGGCCGCUUUCUGUGACUGUUACAUUGCACAGUGAUGUUGGCACAGUGGGACUUGUUUCUCAGGAGGCCAUAUUCACCAGCUGAACUGGCUACAGAUUUCUCCCGUUCCCGUAGAAGUCAAUACUUCAGUGUGGUCUUAUGACUGGCCAAAAAUGCACAAAGGGGAACGUGUUCAAGAAGAGUAGAUGCAAUUUACUCCUCGUCCGCUGUGUCUGUUUUUCUUGUCUGCAUUAGUGAACUGGAAUGUGUUGUGCGCUUAAUUGUUUCUCCAGAAAUGGGCUAGCUGAACCAUCAGAAACCCAGCUUUUGUUUUGAAAAUAUUAUUCAACGUCUUGAGAAGCACUGCCUUCAGAAGAUGACAUGUUUCUUCUGAGGAACAAUCCCUUUAAUUCAAGUGUCUUGCUUUCUUUCCAAAGAGACCACGGUGAUGGAAAAGGAGAAAGAGACACUCCAGGAAGGUCCGAGUGACAGUCUACCUGUUGCUGCGGGAGAAAAAGAACAAAAUGAAGCACAACGCCCACCAGGUGUGGACAGUGAGAAGGGUGGUGCACUUCAUAACAACACACAGAUGAUCUACAUUACAGCACUGUCUGUGGUAGUCACUGGUUUUAUACUAACUGUGAUACACAGCCUUGUUUUGUACCGGAGGAUCAGAAAACAAGAACGAGUAUUACCUCUUACAGGCUCUGUGUAUAAAACAGAAUACCAAAACAGAGCUGAAUCCAGGCGACGCUAGAAAAAAAAAAAGAAAGACAAAAUGAUGGGAUUGCCAUAGAAGCAGGGAACAUCAUCCACAAUCCAGUCAACUGGAAGAGUCAAAGUCUGCUUUCGAGUGACUGUCUGUGAGCCCGUCUGUGUGUCUUGCCUGUCGACUGCUGCAGUUGGUGGAGUGCUGCUUUGCACCACUCCUCCCUCUCAAGCAGUGGUGCGAGGAAGAGCUCCUUCGUAGCUUGCCAUACCCAGUCUCAGGAGAGGAUCUAGCUGCUUGGGCUGCCUGCAGCGCUGCACAUACUCUCCAAAGUCCUUGUAACAGAAGCUGCCCGCCUCAGGGAUUUGGCGCAGAGCUCUGCUGAACAGCUAGUUGGCCGCAAACUACCGCUGCGCUCUGACUGUAGCUGCUGCUGAAAGGGAUGUUGGGAAGGGCAGGCGUUGCCUCUGCAUCUCAGGAAGAAUAGCACGCAGCUGUUUGUGGACGACACCACCAUGAUCUUUUUCAUAAGCGAGACAGCUGCAGAUUUGCCGUCCCCUCUCUCCUCAUGUUCACCUGCUGCUGGAGCGCUGCAGUUGAGGUCAUCCCGAUGCGGGAGGUGCUGCGGGAGGGUCUUUACCUCAACUUCUGGACUUGCUGCCACAGGGCUUGGGUUGGCAGCUCUGCUUUACCACCUCUAUGUCCUGGCCCAGAUACCGGAUUGCUCUUGAGGCUAGAGCAAGCGUUUCUGUUGUUUUAAAGGAGGCAUUUGGGAACUGUCCCCAGCUCUGCUGCUUCUGUGGAGGAGUACUCGUUCCUUGUGAGGUGCACCUGGACCCCUGGAGGAAAGACUGCCACUAAAAGUGUUGAUUCAAAUCCCACUUCUCAGCAGAACCUUAGUCUCACAAGGACCUCUCUCACAAGGACGACCGUGUCCAAUUUUUCUUUCUGAAAUGCAUGGUUCUGCCUUUCUGAAACGCUGAUUUUGUAGAGAAGACGGCGAGCUUGCGUUUUCGUUUCUCUCUCUUCUUCCACAACAGUAUUUUUG